rnacentral:tRNA from 1 species
GGAUUGUGACUCAGAGGUAGAGUACUUGCCUAGCAUGCAUGAGGCACUGGGUUCAAUCCUCAGCACCA